rnacentral:rRNA from 1 species
AUGAGGGCCAAAGAUUCAUAUUUCUACUGGAGAAUCAAACUUGAUGAUGAGGACAGGGUUGAGAACUUGUUCUGGAUAGAUGGCGCAUCACGCAGGGCAUAUGCAAAGUAUAAUGACUGUUUGUCGUUUGACACGGCAUACAUGACAAACAUGUACAAGAUGUCGUGUGCACCAUUCAUUGGAAUUAAUAACCAUGGUCAAUCCAUCCAGUUUGGGUGUGCUUUCGUUCGAAACGAACUAAAGGAAAACUUUGUGUGGCUGUUUAACACAUUCCUCCAUGCAAUGGGUGGUGUCGUCCCUAAAAACAUCAUCAUAGACCAGGACUUUGCAAUGAGGAGUGUGAUCGACGAGGUCUUCUUGAACAUAAUACACAAAAAUUGCCGCUGGCAUAUAAUGAAGAAGGCGCAGGAGAAACUUGAAAAACUUAUGGCUGAUGAUAAACCACUAAACAGAGCGUUCAAAGACUGUGUUGACAACAGCUUGACUGAGGAAGAGUUUGAAAACAAAUGGUGGGCAAUGAUGGAUGAAUCUGGCCAGAUCGACAACGAACAUUUUCAAUGA